GUUAUUUUUGGGCGCGGCUGUUCCCGCGGCCUAUUUUUGGCGCACGGAGACGCCUUGCAAAGUCUCGUGCCAUUCCGAGUCCGGCGGAGAAAAGUGGGCCAGCCCCACCCCACAAGGCUAUAGCGCACCCGUUUUUGUGGUCUUUUUCCGCUGGACGAACUUGGCGCCCCGGCCUUCGGGCGGUUAUUUUUGGGCGCGGCUGUGCCCGCGGCCUAUUUUUGGCACACGGAGGUGCCUCGCAAAGUCUCGCGCCAUUCCGAGUCCGGCGGACGAAGUUGGCCAGCCCCACCCCCCAAGGCUAUAGCCCACCCGUUUUUGUGGGCUUUUUCCGCUGGACCGAACUUUGGGGCCCCGGCCUUCGGGCGGUUAUUUUUGGGCGCGGCUUUGCCCGCGGCCUAUUUUUGGCACACGGAGGACGCACGCAAAGUAUCGCGCCAUUCCGAGUCCGGCGGACGAAGUGGGCCCGCCCCACCCCCCAAAGCUAUAGCCCACCCGUUUUUGUGGGCUUUUUCCGCUGGACGAACUUGGCGCCCCGGCCUUCGGGCGGUUAUUUUUAGGCGCGGCUGUGCCCGCGGCCUAUUUUUGCCACACGAAGGCGCCUCGCAAAGUCUCGCGCCAUUCCGAGUCCGGCGGACGAAGUGGGCCAGCCCCACCCCCCAAGGCUAUAGCCCACCCGUUUUUGUGGCCCUUUUCCGCUAGACGAACUUGGCGCCCUGGCCUUCGGUCGGUUAUUUUUGGGUGAGGCUGUGUUCGCGGCCUAUUUUUCGCACACAGAGGUGCCUCACAAAGUCUCGUGCCAUUCAGAGUCCAGACAACGAAAUUGGCCAGUCCCACCCCCCAAGGUUAUAGCCCACCCGUUUUUGUGGCCUUUUUCCGCUGGACGAACUUGGCGCCCCGGCCUUCGGGCGGUUAUUUUUGGGCGCGGCUUUGCCCGCGGCCUAUUUUUGGCACACGGAGGACGCACGCAAAGUAUCGCGCCAUUCCGAGUCCGGCGGACGAAGUGGGCCCGCCCCACCCCCCAAAGCUAUAGCCCACCCGUUUUUGUGGGCUUUUUCCGCUGGACGAACUUGGCGCCCCGGCCUUCGGGCGGUUAUUUUUAGGCGCGGCUGUGCCCGCGGCCUAUUUUUGCCACACGAAGGCGCCUCGCAAAGUCUCGCGCCAUUCCGAGUUUCCGCCGGACGAAGUGGGCCAGCCCCACCCCCCAAGGGCUUAUAUUUGGGCGCUGCUGUGACCGCGGCCUAUUUUUAGCACACGGAGGUGCCUCGCAAAGUCUCGCGCCAUUUCGAGUCCGGCGGAUGAAGUGGGCCAGCCCCACCCCCGAAGGAUAUCGCCCACCCAUUUUUGUGGUCUUUUUCCGCCUGAUGAACUUGGCGCCCGGGGCGUCGGGCUGUUAUUUUUGGGCGCGGCUGUGCCCGCGGCCUAUUUUUUGUGCACGGAGGUGCCUCGCAAAGUCUCGCGCCAUUCCGAGUCCUGCGGACGAAGCUGGCCAGCCCCACCCCCCAAGGCUAUAGCCCACCCGUUUUUGUGGGCUUUUUCCGCUGGACGAACAUGGCGCCCCGGCCUUCGGGCGGUUAUAUUUGGGCGCGGCUGUGCCCGUGGCCUAUUAUUCGCACACGGAGGCGCCUCGCAAAGUCUCGCGCCAUUCCGAGUCCGGCGGACGAAGCUGGCCAGCCCCACCCCCCAAG
rnacentral:lncRNA from 1 species